rnacentral:rRNA from 1 species
GACAGGUGCUGCAUGGCUGUCGUCAGCUCGUGUUGUGAAAUGUUGGGUUAAGUCCCGCAACGAGCGCAACCCUUAUCCUUUGUUGCCAGCGGUUAGGCCGGGAACUCAAAGGAGACUGCCAGUGAUAAACUGGAGGAAGGUGGGGAUGACGUCAAGUCAUCAUGGCCCUUACGACCAGGGCUACACACGUGCUACAAUGGCGCAUACAAAGAGAAGCGACCUCGCGAGAGCAAGCGGACCUCAUAAAGUGCGUCGUAGUCCGGAUUGGAGUCUGCAACUCGACUCCAUGAAGUCGGAAUCGCUAGUAAUCGUAGAUCAGAAUGCUACGGUGAAUACGUUCCCGGGCCUUGUACACACCGCCCGUCACACCAUGGGAGUGGGUUGCAAAAGAAGUAGGUAGCUUAACCUUCGGGAGGGCGCUUACCACUUUGUGAUUCAUGACUGGGGUGAAGUCGUAACAAGGUAACCGUAGGGGAACCUGCGGUUGGAUCACCUCCUU